UACGAAGGGGGCUAGCGUUGUUCGGAAUUACUGGGCGUAAAGCGUAUGCAGGCGGAUCGUUAAGUCGGGGGUGAAAUCCCGAGGCUCAACCUCGGAACUGCCUUCGAUACUGGCGAUCUUCGAGUCCGGGAGAGGUGAGUGGAACUCCGAGUGUAGAGGUGAAAUUCGUAGAUAUUCGGAAGAACACCAGUGGCGAAGGCGGCUCACUGGCCCGGUACUGACGCUGAGAUACGAAAGCGUGGGGAGCGAACAGG
rnacentral:rRNA from 1 species